rnacentral:rRNA from 1 species
CGCCUAUUAGCUAGCCUAUAACCUAAAAACAACAAACCACAUUAAUUAACCCCAAACACACCAAACUGAUCUAAACAAAUCAUUUUUCCCCUCUAGUAUGUGCGACAGAAAAAGAACAUAAGCGCUAUAGAAAAAGUACCGCAAGGGAAAGCUGAAAGAGAAAUGAAACAACUCAGUAAAGCAAGAAAAAGCAGAGAUUCUCCCUCGUACCUUUUGCAUCAUGAUUUAGCCAGUAACACCCAAGCAAAGCGCCCUUUAGUUUGGUUCCCCGAAACUAAGUGAGCUACUCCGAGCCAGCCUAUCAAGGGCGAACCCGUCUCUGUGGCAAAAGAGUGGGAAGAGCUCCGAGUAGAGGUGAUAGAUCUACCGAACUUAGUAAUAGCUGGUUGCCUGAGAAAUGGAUAAAAGUUCAGCCUACAGAAUUCUUCACUCCAACCGUAACUUUGACAUUGCUGCCCUUGACCCGCAGCAUAAUUUAUUGAAACCUCUAAGAGAUAAAAGAAACCUAUAGAGUUAGUCAAAAGGGGGACAGCCCUUUCGAUUUAAGAAACAACUUUUCUAGGAGGAUAAAGAUCAUAAUUUCAACAAAGGUAAAAUAUUCUGGUGGGCUUAAAAGCAGCCAUCCAUUAUGAUAGCGUUACAGCUCAAAUAUGCCUCUACCCUUAAAAUUAGGACAAAAAUAUCUUAAACCCCUUCAACUACCAGGCCGCUCUAUACUUUUAUAGAAGUGAUUAUGCUAAUAUGAGUAAUACGAGACCUCUCUCCUUACACAAGUGUACAUCGGAACGGAACAACCACCGAAACUUAAUCGACCCCAAACACAGAGGGCACUGAAAUAUAACUCCAACCUUUCAAGAAAAUACUUCAAAAAUUGUCGUUAACCCCACACUGGCGUGUUCUUUAGGAAAGACUAAAAGAGAAAGAAGGAACUCGGCAAAAACUUAGCCUCGCCUGUUUACCAAAAACAUCGCCUCUUGCAAAUAUCUACGAAUAAGAGGUCCCGCCUGCCCGGUGACUAUAUGUUAAACGGCCGCGGUAUUCUGACCGUGCCAAGGUAGCGCAAUCACUUGCCCUUUAAAUGGGGGCCCGUAUGAAUGGCAUCACGAGGGCUAAUCUGUCUCCUUUCUCCAGUCAAUGAAAUUGAUCUCCCCGUGCAGAAGCGGGGAUAAAACCAUAAGACGAGAAGACCCUGUGGAGCUUUAGAUACUAAAAUUGAUCCUCUUAACAUAUUCAAAAUAAAAAUAUUCAAGCAAGGAACACAAUUCGACUAUCUUUGGUUGGGGCGACCGCGGGGACUAAAGAAACCCCCAUGUGGACCGGGAAUAAAAAUUUUUCUUAUUCCUACAACCGAGAGUUACCACUCUAACUAACAGAACUUCUGACCUAAGUGAUCCGACAAAGUCGAUCAACGGACCGAGUUUCCCCAGGGAUAACAGCGCAAUCCCCUUUAAGAGCUCUUAUCGACAAGGGGGUUUACGACCUCGAUGUUGGAUCAGGACAUCCCAUUGGCGUAGAAGCUAUUAAGGGUUCGUUUGUUCAACGAUUAAAGUCCUACGUGAUCUGAGUUCAGACCGGAGUAAUCCAGGUCAGUUUCUAUCUAUGUAAUGUUUCCUUCUAGUACGAAAGGACCGAAAUAAAGAGGCCCAUGCUUCAAGUAUGCCUCCCCCUAAAUCAAUGAAAUUAACUAAAAUGAAUAACAGGGCAUAACCCCUACAGCUUGAGAAAAUAGCGCU